rnacentral:rRNA from 1 species
GAUGAACGCUGGCGGCGUGCCUAAUACAUGCAAGUCGAGCGAACAGACGAGGAGCUUGCUCCUCUGACGUUAGCGGCGGACGGGUGAGUAACACGUGGAUAACCCACCUAUAAGACUGGGAUAACUUCGGGAAACCGGAGCUAAUACCGGAUAAUAUAUUGAACCGAAUGGUUCAAUAGUGAAAGACGGUUUUGCUGUCACUUAUAGAUGCAUCCGCGCAGCAUUAGCUAGUUGGUAAGGUAACGGCUUACUAUGGCAACUAUGCGUAGCCGACCUGAGAGGGUGAUCGGCCACACUGGAACUGUGACACGGUCCAAACUCCUACAGGAGGCAGCAAGAGGGAAGCGUCCGCAAUGGGCGAAAGCCUGACGGAGCAACGCCGCGUCGGUGAUUAAGGUCUUCGGAUCUUAAAACUCUGUUAUUAGGGAAGAACAAAUGUGGAAGCAACUAUGCACGUCUUGACGGUACCUAGUCAGGAAGCCACGGCUAACUACGUG